rnacentral:lncRNA from 1 species
UCCUUAUUCAAAGGCAAACCAUCCACUGAGCAGUUUUUUGCAUUUUUCCCAUUUAGCAAGAAAGUGAAUUCUGUGAAGAACAGAAGUAGUAUGGGUAUGGAGAUAGCACAACACAUCUUGGACAAAGGAGGACAGCACAAGAAGAUCCAACAUGUCAACUCCCUUCUUAAAAAUCUGCACUGAGCUCAGCACAUUUUAAAGCUCUAAGACAGGACUUCAUCAUCUUCAAGUAUUUUCAUAUAUUACUCAAUUGCUCAAGCUCUUAAAUACAUAAUUGGAAUGAAAAGACAAUUGGAAUGCUGCCAAAAGAGGCAUUAAAAGUCUCAUCAAUCAAUGCUGGUUUUGUGGACUGUGAAUUAACUGAGACUCAAGGAUCUUCUUCUGCCCAGAUUGGGUGUAGACUGGCUACUAGUCAAUUAAAACCCUUCUCCCCACCACAUGAACCCAGACUCAGAGCUCUGACCCAAAGAAAUAGCACUCAGUCAUCUAACCAGAAAAUGAAAGCUGGUGGAGGCAAGUGCACAAGUCCACUGGUAGCCAACAACCCUCUGGGUACCUCACCUUCAUCUCUAUCCAAGGCUGAUCAAAGAGGACGAAAAUCCCAUCUUCUGCUAGAUAUUGAGUCUAUUGCAUACCAAAAAAUCUGUUAA